GCUGGGUGUGUUGGUGCAUGCCUGUAAUCCCAGCAGCUCGGGAAGCUGAGACAGGAGGAUCGAGAGUUCAAAGCCAGCCUCAGCAACUUAGAGAGGCACUAAGCAACUCAGUGAGACCCUGUUUCUA
rnacentral:sRNA from 1 species